UACGUAGGUGGCAAGCGUUGUCCGGAUUUACUGGGCGUAAAGAGCGCGCAGGCGGUUGAUUAAGUCGAAUGUGAAAGCCCCCGGCUCAACUGGGGAGGGUCAUUCGAUACUGAUCGACUUGAAGGCAGGAGAGAGAAGUGGAAUUCCCGGUGUAGUGGUGAAAUGCGCAGAUAUCAGGAGGAACACCGGUGGCGAAGGCGGGUCUCUGGGCCGUAACUGACGCUGAGGAGCGAAAGCAUGGGGAGCGAACAGG
rnacentral:rRNA from 1 species